rnacentral:rRNA from 1 species
CCCUUAGAUGUCCUGGGCUGCACGCGCGCUACACUGAUGUGUCCAGUAAGCACCUAACCUCUUCCGAAAGGAACGGGUAACCUUUGCAAAGUACAUCGUGAUGGGGAUAGAUUAUUGCAAUUAUUAGUCUUGAACGAGGAAUUCCUAGUAAGUACAAGUCAUCAGCUUGUGUUGAUUACGUCCCUGCCCUUUGUACACACCGCCCGUCGCUCCUACCGAUUGAAUGUUCCGGUGAGCUCUUCGGACUGCGCGGUCUGCAGUUUCUGCGUUCCGUGCGGAAAGUUGCGCAAACCUUAACAUUUAGAGGAAGGAGAAGUCGUAACA